rnacentral:rRNA from 1 species
CAGUAGCCGCGGUAAUUCGUAGGUGGCAAGCGUUGUCCGGAAUUAUUGGGCGUAAAGGGCUCGCAGGCGGUUUCUUAAGUCUGAUGUGAAAGCCCCCGGCUCAACCGGGGAGGGUCAUUGGAAACUGGGAAACUUGAGUGCAGAAGAGGAGAGUGGAAUUCCAUGUGUAGCGGUGAGAUGCGUAGAGAUGUGGAGGAACACCAGUGGCGAAGGCGACUCUCUGGUCUGUAACUGACGCUGAGGAGCGAAAGCGUGGGGAGCGAACAGGAUUAGAUACCCCCGUAGUCCCUGUCUCUUAUAC